rnacentral:rRNA from 1 species
AGCGGUGAAAUGCGUAGAGAUCUGGAGGAAUACCGGUGGCGAAGGCGGCCCCCUGGACGAAGACUGACGCUCAGGUGCGAAAGCGUGGGGAGCAAACAGGAUUAGAUACCCUGGUAGUCCACGCCGUAAACGACGUCGACUUGGAGGUUGUGCCCUUGAGGCGUGGCUUCCGGAGCUAACGCGUUAAGUCGACCGCCUGGGGAGUACGGCCGCAAGGUUAAAACUCAAAUGAAUUGACGGGGGCCCGCACAAGCGGUGGAGCAUGUGGUUUAAUUUGAUGCAACGCGAAGAACCUUACCUGGUCUUGACAUCCACAGAACUUUCCAGAGAUGGAUUGGUGCCUUCGGGAACUGUGAGACAGGUGCUGCAUGGCUGUCGUCAGCUCGUGUUGUGAAAUGUUGGGUUAAGUCCCGCAACGAGCGCAACCCUUAUCCUUUGUUGCCAGCGGUCCGGCCGGGAACUCAAAGGAGAUUGCCAGUGAUAAAUUGGAGGAAGGUGGGGAUGACGUCAAGUCAUCAUGGCCCUUGCGCCCAGGGUUACACACGUGGUACAAUGGCGCAUACAAAGAGAAGCGACCUCGCGAGAGCAAGCGGACCUCAUAAAGUGCGUAGUAGUCGGGAUUGGAGUGUGCAACUUGACUCCAUGAAGUCGGAAUCGGUAGUAAUCGUGGAUCAGAAUGCCACGGUGAAUACGUUCCCGGGCUUUGUACACACCGCCUGUCACACCAUGGGAGUGGGUUGCAAAAGAAGUAGGUAGCUUAACCUUCGGGAGGGCGCUUACCACUUUGU